UAUUAAAACUACGUAAAUGUUAUUUUGUGUUUAUAUAUAAAAUAGAGUUUGGAUCUAAGUUAAGAUAUUUGAAACAGAUUUUUACCAAUAUGAAUGUCUGAUACCUUUAAAAAUUACAUGAGAAAAGCUCAAUUCUUUAUUGUGCAGGAUAUUUCAAGCAUUGCAGGACAUCCAUAAAUGCCAGCUUCACUAUCUUUGUGCCAACCAGACAUCCCAACAACAGCAACUAAAUUCUGAAGCGUCUUCUGGAGCCUGAGAGCACCGGUUGAGAGUUCUGUUAUAGAUGAUGAGGGCUCCUGUGAAGGAUGAAAUCCAGUGAUCUGUGUACACAGGACAUUGAGUAAAAAGCUGCCCAUUUUCCAUGUGGGUGAUGUUGGAGACAUUUUUGCUAAAGGAUCUAAAGCUUUCUUAUGUAAUUCAUUAGUUUCCAUUUUCAUUUCCUUUCAGGUUUUAGGAGUUGCUUUCUCUUUCUACAGCAAACUACAUGUAAAAUUAAAAAGAGGGCACACAUUUUGCUAUUGGCUCAGUGGGUAGGCGGAUCACAAAGGUUUGGGAAACUGUGUGAAAAGCUGUAUAUCCAAAUACCUACUCAACAUCUUCAACCUGCUCUAAUAGACUUCUUCAAUGCCGUAUGUUCCCUUCUCCCCAAAAUGGUUCUUCUCAUAGCUUCUCCAUCUCAGUAAAUGGCUACUCCAGUCUUCCAGCUGCUCAGGCCAAGAACUUUAGGUUAUCCCAGACUCUGCUUCUUUUACUUCCCAUGUCCGGUGAGUCAUUAAAUUUUGUAGAUUGUGUCACUAAAACAGAUUUAGAAUCUGACCACAUCUCAGCACCCCCACUAUUACUAACCUGGGACAAGGCAUCAUCAUCUUUCCCUCUCCAGGAUUUGUAUGAUAACCUCCUAACUGGUUUGUCAUUCAUUCUUCAUAGUAUUCUUAACCCAGCAGCUAAAAUGAUGCUAUUAAACAUACACAGCUUACAUCAUUCUGCUCAAAACUGUCUGUGGUUCCUGUCUCACACAGAGCAAAAGUUAGUCUUGUGACGACCAUAUAAUCUGUCACCCUCCGGACAUGUCCCCAUUUUGUGACUCCUCUUGCCUCAUCUUUACUUCCUUCACCCUAGUGCAGUCACAUUGCACUGCUGGCUAUACUUCCAAACAGCAGCUAUUCUCCCUUUUCUGGGUCUCCACACUUGCUGUGUCUCCGUAUCUGGAAUGUUCUUGCCACAGAUGUGUGCACGGCCAGCUCUCUCACUUCUUACAUGUUUUUGUGGAAAAUUCAGCUUCUCAGUAAAACUUCAAAUGGUCACUUUAUGUAUAAUUUCAAACCACCCUCCCCUACAUCAGUAGGUUCUAUCCCCUCCCAUAUGCCUUAUGUUUUCUCCUUAGUAUGAUAUUACUUAUCAGUGCUUAAAAUAAUGAACAUGUUUUGCAGCCAUGAGAGCAGGGAUUUGAUCUAUUUUAUUCUCUGAGUUUCCUCUAGUAUUUAGAGCUGCUGCCAGGCUUUGGAUAGCAGUAAAUAAUAGAUAAUGGCUGAAUAAAUGAAUGAACUUUUGCAUUCUACCUUAUAUGGACUUUUAAUGAGAAUUUGUUGUGUGCACUGUAGAAUGUGGUGCUUUUUCUACUGGAACUUGCAGAAGGAAAGACAUGGUCCCUAGGCUGACAAUGACAAACAGUAUUGCACUUCAAUGGAAUGUUGCAGCAAGUAUAAUACGAGAGUUCCUGGCGAAAGGACUUAUCACCAUCUUGAGGAAUCCGAGGGAGCUGGAUUGUGGAGGAUUGUCGGAUGGAUUAUGGCAUGAUGAAAGGCAUCCAGAAGAGGGAGAUUACAAUUAAAACUGCAAAGGCACAGAGCCAGGAAGUGUUUGAUGUACAUGGGAACCACAAGCAUUUUGUGGUUCACUUAACGUAUGGUUUAUGGAAGGAAGUGGUGAAAGGUAGGGCUGGAGAAGCAAACAAGAGCUGGGACUUUGCAGACAACAUUGAGAUAGUUGGGUUUUAUCCUCCAGACUAUACGGGCCAUUGAAAGACACAAGCAGGAGAGUAGUGGUAUCAUUUACCAAUGAGAAAAUAUUUUUUCAUGUAGUUGGCAUAGCUUAUGCAUACGUAUUUGUUUAUACAAUUGGUUAAUGUCUGUCUACAUGGAUAAGCUCUUUAAAGAGAGGAGCCAUGUCAUAUAUUAUCAGUGAACAAAUAAUUAUUUGUUGAAUGAAUGAAAGAGCUAGAUGUUUCAGGAACGUGGGAUUGCAGUCAGUUUAGGAAGAAUUGAGAUGCAAGUAAGAAUAGUAUCAGAUUUACACUUUAGGUUGGCUGCUUGUUGAUUUUAUUGUGGUAGUUAUAGACAUCUAAAAGAAAAUAAUGACAGUAUGAGCUAGGCUAAUUGUCAAAGGGCUGGAGGAGAAAAGAAUUAGAUAAAUAUUGUGGGGCUAAAACUACCUGACCUUGGUGGAGGUUUGAAUGCGGGAAGUAAAAACAGGAUAACCACCAGAUACUUAGUAUGGGCGUCUAAACGGAUGGUGAUACCAUAAACUAAAAUAAAAUAAUGGAGACAGAGUUAGAUUUAUUUAUUUUUUGUUGCAGUAGUGAGCCAUAAAAUGACGAUGAGUUUGGUUUUGUUCAUUUGACUUUGAAAUAGCUAUAAGGCUUAUAGGUGUAUCUGACCAGUAAACAGUUGCUAUGUGAGUCAGAAGCUCAGGAGCCAGGUCUUCAGCAGAAGUAAAGACCCACCUUUAUUGGAAUAAAGUCGAAAUCAUUUGAAUGUGGAAGAGAUCACCCAAGGAGCAAACGCAAAGUGAUCCACAUCCAGAGGACUGAAGGAUGUGACCACAUGACCUGCUCACAAUGUAACACUAAUUUUUGUUAUCGAUGUGGUGAGAGAUACCGCCAGCUCCGAUUUUUUGGAGACCACACAUCAAACCUCAGUAUAUUUGGAUGCAAAUAUCGCUACCUCCCAGAGAGACCUCAUUUAAGGAGAUUAGUGCGAGGGUCAGUCUGUGCUGGAAAAUUAUUCAUUGCACCUCUAAUUAUGGUUUUGGGAUUGGCACUAGGGGCCAUAGCAGUUGUAAUCGGUUUAUUUGUAUUUCCAAUCUAUUGCCUUUGUAAAAAACAGAGGAAACGAUCACGGACAGGUAUGCACUGGUAAAAUGCAGAUGAUUUCAUCCAACUAAGCUGGUUUGAGUAGUAGCGUUAUAGAAUGGUACACCCAUCUGUGAGUCACAUCUUGAAAAAUACUGAGAGGAACAUUCUACCAUCUCAUCUCCCAGUGAUUCUCCGUGGGCCACAAUGCCUCUAGCUAUGGUGCACUCCCAACAUGGUAUCCUGUCCUUUCCCUAAACAAAUUGCUGCUGCUUUUAAAAAAUGGUCACUUUCAUAAACUAUAAACAUCUGUAUCAUAACUCUGCCCUUUGUGGUUCUUGGAAGAAGAUACUUUAAGAAGAAUUAUCCUCAGAAUUCUUCUGAGCACGCCUCUUCUGAGAAUUGCUUGGACUGUCUUUGAACUCUGCGCCUCCUUCCAGGCCAUCUUGUGAGACUUGGUGUGAAUAGCUGAAAUCCCAUCUGUACCAACAAGCAAGGCCACUUUUCAGAAGAUAAGAGUUCACUGAAUGCACCUAUUAUAAUCUGUGGCCCAAGCAGUAUAAUUCCUUUAUCCAUCAAAUGUUAUAAUUGCUAAAAGUCUCAAUGUCCAAAAGGGAAUGAAUGAAACUAAAUUAAUGAGAAGAAUACUAAGUUACUGAAGUGUAUAUGUGUAGGGGUGUGAAUGUGUGUGUAUAUAUAAAUAUGUAUUAAAACUAGGCCUAAUAACCUUGUAUUUAUCCAGUUCCAUGCCGCUACACUAUUUUUCCACAUUUUCAUAGACCUAUUGAAAGAUGAUGGUUCCUUUGUGGACGUAAUUUGGCAAUGUAUUGAAUUAAAGUCAAUGUAGACAACAGGCUAUUUCGAUGCUGACCUUUUCUAUUUAUUGCUCUUUCUUUUGUCACACACACACAGAAAUUUGUGCAAUGUCACCUCAAGGAGUAUUAAGCUUUGUAAACUGACAAAACUGGCUGCUUUUAGGAAAUUUUCAAGACCCAAAUAUUCAGUCUUUUUAAAAUGUUAUUUUGGAAUAGAUGCUUCACUCUAUAGAUAGAUCCUUCACAUGGGGAUUAUUUAAUCCAAAAAAACAAGUUUGCUAUAAAGAACUGCUUAAGCCUUUUUAAAAAAUCCUAUUCUGCUAAUUUUUUCUGCUUUUAGGAAAUUCUCAAGACCCGAAUAUUCAGUCUUUUAAAAAUGUAUUUUGGAAUAGAUGCUUCACUCUAUAGAUAGAUCCUUCACAUGGGAAUUAUUUAAUCCAAAAAACAAGUUUGCUAUAGAGAACUGCUUAAGCCUUUUUAAAAAAAUCCUAUUCGGCUAAUUUUUCACCCAACUUAUAAUUAUAGAUAAUUCUGCUUUAGGUCAAGGUCUUAUAUCAUUUAAUAUCCUAACCCUAUUCUCUCUUGUCUCCUCCUCUUUUUUAUUUGUUCCCAAGGUUUUUCAUAAAAAACAAUACAAGUUUUGAAGGAUUUUUUCUUAUGUUUAACUGCUCAAACGUACACUUUUUUGGUGUCCUCUUAUGAAGGAGUUAGUUUGAAAACUUUUAUGUUCAUCAGUUUAUCCAAAAUAUCAACUCCUUUUAGAGAAGGAAACAAAAAAGUGAAGGAAAUAUUUUCAGCAAGUAUUUUUCAACCCACGAAAGCUUUAAAAAUAAGAAAUAGACAAGUAACUAGACUAUGAUAUGCCUUUGUUUUCAUCACAGAAGUUAAUCAGCAGACAGGAAAAAAAAAAGACUCCUAAAAAGCCUAAAGCUCCUAAUUGUCUCAAAAUUCUUAAAAUUAGCCAUUUGUCUUAGAUGUACAUUUAUUUGUUAACAACCCUGUCUGAUUUGAAAUAGAUGAUAUGAUAAAACAUGCAUUAACAUGAGUAAUCUAUUUUUGUUGGCCUCCAGAGUGUAAGAAAAUUUAUUUUUGUUUUACAUAAAGUAAAGUUUACCUGCUUGAAUAACAAGCUAGCAUGCUUUCACUCUUUCUAAAUAACAUGGAAUAUCUGUACUACAGCUUCUGGAAGUUGUCUAUUUCCAGUUAGAAGAGUGUGUGACAUUUAUCGUGAAUAGCAUCUUUCUAAAGCAUAAUAUUAUACAAGAAAAAAGUGAUGCCCUGGUUUCACAAAUUUAUCUUUUAAUUCACCCAUCCAUCCAUUUGGCAGAUAUUUACUGAGUGCCUGUUUUAGGUGUUCUAGUAUUAAGACUGAAAAAAGGAGAAUUUCUAGCCUGUCAUAAAUGUACUUAGGUUUUGUAAAUUCAUCUUUCCUGAACUUAGGCAUUAGUUUGGCAUUAUGUGAAUAUGAUGAACUCUAAACCUAGCUGAUCUGUUUAUGUAUGAUGUAUAUAUAUGUAUGGUAUAUAUGAAAUAUUCCCAUAACUGCAUAUGAACACAUAUGCCAUAUACGUAUGUACCAACUGGCUGAAUAACAUACUCUUUGGUCUUGGAUAAUCUAUAUUCUAGGUUAUGUGUCUGUUAUCUUUGGCCUACUCAGGGAUUUUUAUUUCUUUUUUUAAAUAACUUAUCUUCUGGACAUAUUUUUAUAUUAUUUGGAAAACUUUCCAAUAUUCCAUUUACAACGUGAUUUUCAGUGAAGGCUAUUUCAUCAAUGCUUGAAAUAGUGUGCACUGUGUUGCACAGGUUUUUCAUUUUUCUAUUGAGUAGAUAUUUUUAAAUUAACAUAUGCAUUUUUAUAUUAGGUGAUAUAUAUUAGGCCUUUCCCUGCUGGUAACUUAAAAUGAUUAUUUGUGAAUUUUUUACUAAGUUUCAUCAAGAUCUUAAAAAGAGAGAAGAAAAUUAGAAGUAUUAUUCAUAUGUCAGUGCCAACUUUGAAGGUAAAACAAUAGUAGUAACUUUUGGGAGAAAUUCUAAAAACUACUUUAAAAAAGAAGCGUGCACAUAAAAUAAAUGUCUUUCUAUCCAAGGCUUGUCAUUUUUAUAUGCUUUUAUUGUAAAUUUAAUAUAUAGUACUUUAAAAAAUUAAACCAUACAGAAUUUAUAAAAUACAAUUUUCUCUGCUCACCCCACCCCUUGUUUUCUAGGGGUAACCACUGUUAAUGGUUUAGUAUGUGUCCUUGCAGGCACUUUCUACAAAUAUACAAAUAAGUGUGUUUGUGUAUGUGUCUGUGUGUUUAUUCAUUUUAUACAAAUAGAAAAAUAUUCUUAC